rnacentral:tRNA from 1 species
CUUCUCUGUGACCGAUGUGGACUUCAACUCCGACGGUGGUGGCGUGUUCCUUCUUGUGGGUUCG